AUUGAACGCUGGCGGCAUGCUUUACACAUGCAAGUCGAACGGUAACAGGCCGCAAGGUGCUGACGAGUGGCGAACGGGUGAGUAAUGCAUCGGAACGUGCCCAGUCGUGGGGGAUAACGCAGCGAAAGCUGCGCUAAUACCGCAUACGAUCUAUGGAUGAAAGCGGGGGACCGUAAGGCCUCGCGCGAUUGGAGCGGCCGAUGUCAGAUUAGGUAGUUGGUGGGGUAAAGGCUCACCAAGCCAACGAUCUGUAGCUGGUCUGAGAGGACGACCAGCCACACUGGGACUGAGACACGGCCCAGACACCGACGGGAGGCAGCAGUGGGGAAUUUUGGACAAUGGGCGCAAGCCUGAUCCAGCAAUGCCGCGUGCAGGAAGAAGGCCUUCGGGUUGGAAACUGCUUUUGUACGGAACGAAACGGUCCUGGUUAAUACCCGGGGCUAAUGACGGUACCGUAGGAAUAAGCACCGGCUAACUACGUGCCAGCAGCCGCCGUAAUAC
rnacentral:rRNA from 1 species